AUUGAACGCUGGCGGCAGGCCUAACACAUGCAAGUCGAGCGGAGCGGCGGACGGGUGAGUAAUGCAUAGGAAUCUGCCUGGUAGUGGGGGAUAACGUCCGGCAACGGGCGCUAAUACCGCAUACUAUCAGAUGAGCCUAGGUCGGGUUAGCUAUUUGGUGGGGUAAAGGCCUACCAAGGCGACGCUCCGUAACUGGUAUGAGAGGAUGAUCAGUCACCCUGGAACUGAGACACGAUCCAGUCCCCUCCGCGAUGCAGCGGUGGGGAAUGUUGGACAAGGGGCGAAGGGCUGAUCCAGCCAUGCCGCGUGUGUGAAGAAGGUCUUCGGAUUGUAGUGCACUUUCAGUUGGGAGGCGGUACCAAAAGAAUAAGCACCGGCUAACUUCGUGCCAGCAGCCGCGGUAAUAG
rnacentral:rRNA from 1 species